AAUCCCCAUUCAGCUGAUGUGUUAUAGUGAAUUCAAACAUGAAUACUUGCAAAGAUUGCAUUAUCACAUUACCCACUUCUACCUGUUUAAACAUUAUGAGGGAAAAGUAAUACCUGGUACUAUUUACAAAGCAGCAAAUGAAAGGGCAAAAUGUUCCCAUUUCUUGUGGAACUGACUGACCCUUGUUCUCGAAGAGAACAGUUUGCUGCUAAUAGGAAAAAUAAACAACAGAUGGCCUGGAGGGAACAGUUUUUCUUUUAAUGGGUUUUUAUUUAACAGAAAUCUCUGGUUUGAAAAAGGUCAUUGUUAGUUGGGAAUAGAGAACUACAAUAGUUCUUACCAGUUUAGAUUAACUGGUAAGAAAGACCACCAACCUCACAGGAUUGCUUUUGUGUCUGAAGAAAAGGCUAUGGACCAUCUCAGAGGACAGCUUUUAAAACCUGCGGAUCAGAAGGCUCCAGAGUGUAUGAAUUCAUUUGCCAAACAGAGAUGGAGAAGUAAAUUCCUGCUGAAAUUUCUCAAGCACCACCUGUUCCCCUCGUAAUUCCAGUUCCAAAUUACUACAGUUUGCCAACAGAAAUCAGAUAGAAGAAAUAGAAAAGGGCUACACGAUCGUACCCGAGGUUGUGUCAUCAGCAUCUUUCGUCAUAGAUCCAAGAGUAACUGUGUUAUCCUGCAUAUGGAUGGAAUGCUACAGUCAUUAGGCUGUAGGAUAGAUUUCAGGUACCAACUUUGUUUGAGAUAAUUUCUCUUGUGUCUUAGAAACUUCCCAAUUAAUGCGUCCUGGAAAAUAAUGUAUUUCAGAAAACUUACUGCUUAUUGGUAUUCCAAACAGCUCUGUUAUGAUGGCAUACUAGCAAAAAACACCCCUGGAUCAAAGAUCAAACACAAGGACGAAAAGCUUUACUACAGCCCACCUGGUUUUAUUACCAAAAUAUUCUCUAUUCAAAAAAGAAAAAGAAAAAAAAAACCACCAUUGUCACCUGAAAACAUUUUAGAUUAUAUGAGAAGACCAAAAACUGACAAAAAGACAAAUUCCUCAGAAUCCAUCUUGAUUCCACCUUUGCCAGGCACACAGCAAUUGAAUAUCAAAGUCAAAUCAGUAUCAAAAUUAACCGUAUUAUUCCAAUACUCAAUUAGCAUGCUAGCUGUAUUAUGCAUAACUUGAUUGGAAUGAUCCUUAUACACCAUUCACAAUUGUUUGAAAAUAUUAUGUUUCCACUUCAGACUAGUUACUGAGACUCCCACCUCUUUUUAUGUUGCCCGUCAAUACACUAGUCUUUUUUAAACAGAAAAAUCUUCAAUAAAUACAAGCAAGUACUGCCAUUUCUGCACAGCCAGCUAGUGUAUAAAUAUGUGUACUUACAAAACCCAGUAAUUUCCUAAACAUUCGAGUACACAUAAACCUGUAAGCAUUUGCAAAACAAAUUAAAAUGGAUGCAGAAAUGUUUGAUCAGCACAACAUUAGAUUUUUACAAAUGCUCACAGACACUUCAUUUUGCUAUUAAGUUACCUACAUUUCUGUGCAUUACAUUGCCAAAUGGUAACAUUAGUUGUCUCUGAAGCAGUUUUCAGAGACAAUAUGGGGAAGCUAUAAUUAUAGCUAUGUCAAAGGGAUGAAAAGCAAAUGAAACAGAAACAGGAAGGGAUGUUUCCUUAGAUGCUAUUAUUUCUCAUAGGGAUAAUGAUCACAUACUAAUAUACAUAAAAGGUCAAAUAUUUUGGGUUUUGAACACUACUAAUGUACUGAAAUAAGGUAUUAGUUCAGUUGGUUAAAGCAGGAUGCUAAUAAUGCCAAGGUAAUGGGUUCAAUCUCUAUACAGGAUAUUCUCUUGGGAGUUGGACUUGAUGAUCCUUGUUGAUCCCUUCCAACUCAGAAUAUUCUCUGUGUGAUAUGUCAGCCGUUCAAGUAGCUUACAUAUAUUUAUAGUAAAUCAAAAUUUCAUCUUGAUUUCCAUUCCUUUCCCCACAAAUUAUACACUCUCCAAAUCAGCUGCCUAUUACCACAAAUAAAAAGGAAUAAACUGUAGCAAUAUGAACACAGUAACUUCAGGUUUAGUUUUGCAAGUGGCAUUGCAUUUUCAUUCUUGCUAAUACUGGGGUUUAGAUAAUGCUCUAUCUUGGUGCUUUAAUCUGUUCUUGAAGGAGCUGUCAAUCAGCCAGUUUACCUUUGUACUGGUUGGGUCCAGCUAGCACAUGCAGACAAUAAAUACAGAGAAAAGCAGAAAGAAAACCCCUUCAGAAAAACUGGAACUUCAAAGCAUUAAAUCAUCCUCACAAAUUUUAAAAUAAAGAUGCACAGAACUACAGUAUAUUUCAUCUGGAGUUGCAUACAGAGGGACAAAUUCAUCCUUAGACUCCUAAGCAGUUUCAGUGUAAAUUGCUCCUUCAUAUAUCUAAGCUCAAACUGUGGGUCGUAACUGGUUCAUACUCAUUCAGUAUUUUUGUCUUUGAAAGUGUUGUCCUGAUAAAAUUCCAAGAGUCCUCAGAACAAACUGUUGCCAUUAUGACAGCCAGCACUGACCUCCUAUUCAUUAAUCAAGAAAUAAAAUCUUUUGUAUUUUUAAUCAAAUUAUCAUCUUGUUUGAUGAAUUUGAUUCUACGACUGUUAUUAACUAAGGUGCUUUCUGACUUGACAGCAUUUUCAAUUUACAAGUUUCAGAAGAUUUCAGAUCCACUGGAAAUACUAUGAGUAAUCUUCAACACUCCUUUUACCUUUUAAAUUUGUAACACUACUGAUUUACUUUGGCUAAGAAAUAGAAAAUAUAUUGUCUUUACAAAUUAAAAUACAGUGGAAAAAAAAGAAAAUCAUGGCUCUAUCUACUAAGACUCAGAGUUUUCUCCUCCUUGUCAUACUAGGUUUCUUAGUUGAAUAGGACAUUACUUCAGAAGAUUAUGUAACUUUAUUAUUAUUACACCUCUUUUGUUUCCUCUGUUAAUUACAUUGUGUCAGCAUUUCUGUUUUCAGUUCAAAGGCUUAAAAUGAAAAAAAAUCUUUAUGAAAUCCAUAAUUGUUAAUAAAAAUUAGUGAAAACAAAGAAACAAAAAAUCUAGAUAGCAGAUUGAGGAAGAUCUUUGUGCAAUAAACUUUUUUCUUUUUCUUUAGCAAUAUUCAGUAGUAUCAUUUUACCAAACAAAUUAAUAUUCUUAGAAACCUGACUAACUAAAAAAAAAAAAACCAAACCAAACAAACAAACAAAGUACAUAAAAGUCCAGCAAGCCAUUAGCCUAUAAUAUUUGGACAGAAUUUUCCAAUAUUAGAAUAUAUACUAUCACAUUUUUUGUGUAAGUUAUGUUUGUUUGCCUUUCUACACUUUUCUUUCAAUCAGCAAGAACUAUAAGUAGUUCUCUGGUUUAAGUGUUUGUUCCAACUCAAAGCAAAAAAAAAAAAAAGUCAAAUAUUUGUAAGCUAGAAACAUUUGUAAGGUAGAACACAAUCAGAAUUAUAAUUUCCCACCUUUUUUUUUUUUUUUUUACUAUUACAGACAAACAUUCAUACACUCUAGAGAAACAGUAAGGUAGAACAGAAAAGAAACCAACUCUAAUUGUAUUUCCAAUUCUGGAUAGAAUUGAUUUUUCCAUUUCUGUCUAGCCAAAAUACUUGUACUUCCCCUCUGGUACAAACAGGACUCAUGCUGCCCUUAAUCACACUUGUGAUACAUAGAAAGAACCUUGAUAUUCCCAGCCCAAAAAGAAAAAAAAAAUGAAUAAAAAAAGGUCUUACAGAAAUAUUAUCCACCUUCUAGAUCUCAUCUAGAUUUAAUGGAAUUAUAGAUUUAAUGGAAUGUGUAUUGAGCACUGGUUUAAAGUCUGAAAUAAAAAUACACACCACCCUCCCAUACUUAGGACCUGAUUAUGACCAUUAAUAUGUGGUGUCUUCCCUCUUUGAUUUAGUGCUUUCACAGACCAAACUUUCUGAGGCCUUUGUGUCUGUGAAAUUCAUCCCGGAGAAUUUUAGGAAUAUAUAAAAUAGUAUGUAAUUUUCAGAAACCCGGAAAUAUUGUUAGAGCUACGCUGAAGUAUCUGUGCUGCUGCCACAUCAAUGGCGUAGUGCACACAUGCAGUCAGUCUGUAACUUCCUGAAAGCAUCCAAUUUUCUGUGCCUUCUCUGUACAUGUGUUUUGUACAGUUGCAAUGAAAAUUAAAAUUAUGUGCAAAGUAAAAAAUAUCUGUAGAUUAUAAGCAGUAGAUUUUAUGCUUUUUGUCAAAGACUUCUCUUCAAAAUAAUCAUGAAGAAAAAUACAGAUGUCUUUCAUUAACUACACUGAGUUACUCAGUUGCCCCUUGCAUCUGACAUGGCAAAUAAGGCUCUUCAGGCUGACUUUGAAAAAGUCAUCCUCAGAGCAUCUCCAGGAGACCAUGAUACCAAGUUCUCCAGCCUGUUAAGCCGAUAUCAUGAUGUCUGACAUGUAAAUAAUUUCUUAAUUGUUGAUGAUAGGAGGAAAAAUAUUCUCAAAUGUCUAAGACUAGUUAAUUGUCAAAUGUUUCUGCCUUCAUAAUUUUCCCAUUUUUUCUAAUUGCAGUUCUAAUACAGAUCUUAAUUAAUGGAAGGUGAUUAAAUGGUUUGAAAAAGACACAGGGUAUGAAUACAAUUUCGGUCACUCACAUGAUUGACAGUUCUUCCAAUGGCUCUUAUCUCUCAAAAAAGCAGCCUGAGUUCACCAGCACAAAUCAACUUUUACCCCAGAAACUAAUAGACAUUGCAGUGCUUGGCAAGAUAUGUCAGCUUGGGCACAGAACAACACUACUGUUACCUGUGUGUCUUCCAAGAUGGAGCUUGCACACCUCUGGCUGACUCAAAGCUUGAAGGUUAUUAGAUUCCAGUAGACUCAGAUCAUGAUACCUUGGUACCACAAGGUGCUUAUAGUCAAAUUUAUCCUGUCGAGAUAUUGUCUCAUGGAAGUCUCAUGAAGAUCUCCAUUAGUUUCCAUGGAAAACAAAACUAAAUUAACAAAUUUCUUUCAUGAAGUAGAUUUUGAGUACAGAGGCACAUUCUUCCUGUUAGAGAUCCCUCCUAUUGUGUUUUCAGAUUUUUAAAGGCAGAGUGGUCUUAGCAGAAAAAUAUCACCAGAAAUUACCUCCUGGAAAACAGACUACACAGGUAUGACUUAGGAGACCCAGUAAUUGGAUGAAGAGCUUUUUUGUUUUUUAAAAUACAUCAGCUUUCCAUUCAAGGACAAUAAUUAGUCGGGAGAGGCUGAUGCUGGGGAAGUUGAAGGGAGGCAUGACUUUUGAGACAUGACAGGUGGAACAAAGAUCUCUAACAUCUUGAGAAGCUGUAAAAUGCUACUCAUGGUGUUUUUAAUGUGUAGAACAUAUGCUUUAGGACUGUUACAAGAAAUCAUGUAUUCUUUCUUUACAAACCUGUAAAAACACAAAAUCCAUUAAGACAGGGACUCAUUUGACCUCCAGGUAAUUUGAAUAUAAAAGAAGUACUACAGGCUUCCUGGUCCUCCUAUGUGUAACUCUGGCUGAAUAGCAAUUUUAUCUUGAAGUAAUUCAAUUAUAUUACAAAUAAGAACUAGAAUUAAAAUAUAAUGAUUUAAUAUAACUGAUUAAUAAAGUAUUGCAAGUGCAAUUACAAUACAGUCAGAGUACGUCAAGUCAACCAGUCUGCAGCACAAUCAAAAACCAUA